UGGAUGAUGUGGUUAAUUUCGAUGCAACGCGAAAACUUAACCACCUUUGUACAUGUACGGAAUCCUUUAGAGAUAGAGGAGUGCUCGAAAGAGAACCGUUAACACAGGUGCUGCAUGGCUGUCGUCAGCUCGUGUCGUGAGAUGUUGGGUUAAGUCCCGCAACGAGCGCAACCCUUGUCAUUAGUUGCUACAUUCAGUUGGGCACUCUAAUGAGACUGCCGGUGACAAACCGGAGGAAGGUGGGGAUGACGUCAAGUCCUCAUGGCCCUUAUAGGUGGGGCUACACACGUCAUACAAUGGAUGGUACAAAGGGUCGCCAACCCGCGAGGGGGAGCCAAUCCCAUAAAGCCAUUCGUAGUCCGGAUCGCAGUCUGCAACUCGACUGCGUGAAGUCGGAAUCGCUAGUAAUCGUGGAUCAGAAUGUCACGGUGAAUACGUUCCCGGGUCUU
rnacentral:rRNA from 1 species